rnacentral:lncRNA from 1 species
CAGAGAUGUUGGAGCUGACAACUGGAGACAAUAUGGCUUGGUGACAACAUCAUAAAAGGAUUGAUGAUAAUAUUGAAGAGGAAGGAGCUAGGAGUGAGUUGCUAAGUGACAGAAAAAGAGCAAGUGGAAGUUUCUUAGAAGUAGAGAAGGAAACAAGAAAGCAGAAAGUGAGAAGGUAGGAGAAUUGAAGCAAAGCAUUGCUAGAGAAGGAUGGUUCAGAGAGAACUGUCUAAUUAUAGUAUGUUUAUAUUGAUGACAAUUUAAGCAUUUGAAGCACAGCCUUAUGACAUUUUAUUUGGAUAAGUUGGGCU